rnacentral:pre_miRNA from 1 species
UGUGGAGUUACUGGAUCAUAUGGUAACUCUAUUUUUAACUUUGUGAGGAAUUGCCAAACUAUUUUCCAAAGUGGCUGCACCAUUUUACAUUCCCACCAGCAGU